rnacentral:rRNA from 1 species
AAUGAACGCUGGCGGCGUGCCUAACACAUGCAAGUCGAGCGGUAAGGCCCCUUCGGGGGUACACGAGUGGCGAACGGGUGAGUAACACGUAGGAAUCUACCCAGGAGUGGGGGACAACCCGGAGAAAUCCGGGCUAAUACCGCAUACGCCCUACAGGGUAAAGUGGUGGACCUCUUCGGAGGCCUCACGCUUUUGGAUGAGCCUGCGUCGGAUUAGCUUGUUGGUGAGGUAGCGGCUCACCAAGGCGACGAUCCGUAGCUGGUCUGAGAGGAUGACCAGUCACACUGGGACUGAGACACGGCCCAGACUCCUACGGGAGGCAGCAGUGGGGAAUAUUGGACAAUGGGGGCAACCCUGAUCCAGCCAUGCCGCGUGUGUGAAGAAGGCCCUAGGGUUGUAAAGCACUUUCAGUGGGGAAGAAAAGCCUAAGGAUAAUACCCUUGGGUCUUGACGGUACCUACAGAAGAAGCACCGGCUAAUUCCGUG